UGAUAAGCUUAGGAAUGCCAGAGCCCAGCUGUAGGGCCCCAGUCCCUGGGUGUGAGGGGUUCCUGCCCCAGGGGUGAGGCCUCUGCCAGCAAAUCUCUCCUCUCUCUCCCAGGACCGGGCAGUUCCUAGUGAGUGGCAGCACAAGCGGGGCCGUCUCUGUGUGGGACACAGGCGGGCCUGGCAAUGAUGGGAAGCCGGAGCCCGUGUUGAGUUUUCUGCCCCAGAAGGACUGCACCAAUGGCGUGAGCCUGCACCCUAGCCUGCCUCUCCUGGCCACUGCCUCCGGUCAGCGUGUGUUUCCAGAGCCCACAGAGAGUGGGGACGAAGGAGAGGAGCUGGGCGUUCCCUUGCUCUCCACGCGCCACGUCCACCUUGAAUGUCGGCUUCAGCUCUGGUGGUGUGGGGGGGGGCCAGACUCCAGCAUCCCUGAUGAUCACCAGGGCGAGAAAGGGCAGGGAGGAACGGAGGGAGGUGUGGGUGAGCUUAUAUAAAAAGGUUUUUAUGAUA
rnacentral:sRNA from 1 species